UACGGGGGGGGCUAGCGUUGCUCGGAAUCACUGGGCGUAAAGGGCGCGUAGGCGGCCUGGCAAGUGGAAGGUGAAAUCCCUCGGCUUAACCGAGGAACUGCCUCCCAAACUGCUUGGCUUGAGACCAGGAGAGGUGAGUGGAAUUCCCAGUGUAGCGGUGAAAUGCGUAGAUAUUGGGAGGAACACCAGUGGCGAAGGCGGCUCACUGGACUGGUACUGACGCUGAGGCGCGAAAGCGUGGGGAGCAAACGGG
rnacentral:rRNA from 1 species